rnacentral:rRNA from 1 species
AGAGUUUGAUUAUGGCUCAGAUUGAACGCUGGCGGCAUGCCUUACACAUGCAAGUCGAACGGUAACAGGUCUUCGGAUGCUGACGAGUGGCGAACGGGUGAGUAAUACAUCGGAACGUGCCCGAGAGUGGGGGAUAACGAAGCGAAAGCUUUGCUAAUACCGCAUACGAUCUCAGGAUGAAAGCAGGGGACCGCAAGGCCUUGCGCUCACGGAGCGGCCGAUGGCAGAUUAGGUAGUUGGUGGGAUAAAAGCUUACCAAGCCGACGAUCUGUAGCUGGUCUGAGAGGACGACCAGCCACACUGGGACUGAGACACGGCCCAGACUCCUACGGGAGGCAGCAGUGGGGAAUUUUGGACAAUGGGCGCAAGCCUGAUCCAGCCAUGCCGCGUGCAGGAUGAAGGCCUUCGGGUUGUAAACUGCUUUUGUACGGAACGAAAAGACUCUGGUUAAUACCUGGGGUCCAUGACGGUACCGUAAGAAUAAGCACCGGCUAACUACGUGCCAGCAGCCGCGGUAAUACGUAGGGUGCGAGCGUUAAUCGGAAUUACUGGGCGUAAAGCGUGCGCAGGCGGUUAUAUAAGACAGAUGU